rnacentral:tRNA from 2 species
GGGGCUGUAGCUCAGUUGGUAGAGCGCGGGACUCCAAAUCCCGCGGUCGGGGGUUCGAGUCCUCCCAGCCCCGCCA